rnacentral:sRNA from 1 species
GGGGGCCAGAUGUCAUGUCUCUCAAGCCUAGGAGACACUAGACACUCUGGACUAUCGGUUAGAGGAAACCCCCCCAAAAAUGUAUAGGCU